rnacentral:rRNA from 1 species
UCGGGAAUUUUGGGCAAUGGGGGAAACCCUGACCCAGCAACGCCGCGUGAAGGAUGAAGUAUUUCGGUAUGUAAACUUCGAAAGAAUAGGAAGAAUAAAUGACGGUACUAUUUAUAAGGUCCGGCUAACUACGUGCCAGCAGCCGCGGUAAUACGUAGGGACCAAGCGUUGUUCGGAUUUACUGGGCGUAAAGGGCGCGUAGGCGGCGUGGUAAGUCAUCUGUGAAAUCUCCGAGCUUAACUCGGAACGGUCAGAUGAUACUGCUGUGCUAGAGUACAGAAAGGGCAAUCGGAAUUCUUGGUGUAGCGGUGAAAUGCGUAGAUAUCAAGAGGAACACCUGAGGCGAAGGCGGGUUGCUAGGCUGAUACUGACGCUGAGGCGCGAAAGCUAGGGUAGCAAACGGGAUUAGAUACCCCCGUAGUCCCUGAGCGGGCUGGCAAGGCGCAU